AUUGAACGCUGGCGGCAGGCUUAACACAUGCAAGUCGAGCGGGGUGAUGGCGCUUGCACUAUCACUUAGCGGCGGACGGGUGAGUAAUGCUUAGGAAUCUGCCUAUUAGUGGGGGACAACAUCUCGAAAGGGAUGCUAAUACCGCAUACGUCCUACUGGAGAAAGCAGGGGAUCACUUGUGACCUUGCGCUAAUAGAUGAGCCUAAGUCGGAUUAGCUAGUUGGUGGGGUAAAGGCCUACCAAGGCGACGAUCUGUAGCGGGUCUGAGAGGAUGAUCCGCCACACUGGGACUGAGACACGGCCCAGACUCCUACGGGAGGCAGCAGUGGGGAAUAUUGGACAAUGGGGGGAACCCUGAUCCAGCCAUGCCGCGUGUGUGAAGAAGGCCUUAUGGUUGUAAAGCACUUUAAGCGAGGAGGAGGCUCUUUUGGUUAAUACCCAGAAUGAGUGGACGUUACUCGCAGAAUAAGCACCGGCUAACUCUGUGCCAGCCGCCGCCGUAA
rnacentral:rRNA from 1 species